GAAUUAGAAAAUUGGCAGAAAACUAUAAACCAACAAUGUCAACUGCCUAUAAAGAAAACUUGUAUAAGAUGUUUUACAAAUGGCAUUUUGCACAGGCAAGGUUGGCAAGGAUGUUUGAAGAUAAAUCAGCUAAAGGUUGGAAAUGUCACUAGGCACCUGGAUCAUAUUACCACAUGUGGUGGGCAUGUGUAGAAGCCAAAAAAUAUUGGACAAAAAUACACACAUGGUUGGUAAAGAUGAUACAACAGCACAUUGAUUUAAAGCCUGAAAUAUUCUUUGUUGGGGAUCUUACCUGAAUUCUAUAGUACAGAAAAUGUAUAUUUGAUUAUUCACAUACUAACUGCAGC